UAACUAGGUCAGUUGGUAGAGCAUGAGACUCUUAAUCCCAUGAUUGUAGGUUCAAGUCUCACACUGGGCAAAG